AAUACCUGAAACAAUUAGCUUUAUUUUCCCUGCUUUCAAACACAAGAGCACUUAUGAGAAAGAAAAUUGACAUCGGAGAAAGAAAUCCAGCACUCCCAAUGCAAUAUGAAGUAUGGAUCAGAGAGGCUGCUUAGAGGAAUGACUGCUCUUCCAGAUGACAGUGUCAUAUGAUGAACGAAGCUGAAGCCAAACAGCAGAGGCCUGAAUUAUAUAGGCGUAUCGGCCAGGGUCUGAUCAGGAGACAGAAUCACUCCAGUUAUUUUAUUUUAUUUUUUUUGAGAUGGAGUCUCGCUCUGUUGCCCAGGCUGGAGUGCAGUGGUGCAAUCUCGGCUCACUGCAAGCUCCACCUCCUGGGUUCACGUCCUUCUCCUGCCUCAGCCUCCUGAGUAGCUGGGACUACAGGCGCCUGCCACCACACCCGGCUAAUUUUUUUUGUAUUUUUUAGUAGACACAGGGUUUCACCGUGUUAGCCAGGAUGGUCUCGAUCUCCUGACCUCGUGAUCCACCUGCCUUGGCCUCCCAAAGUGCUCGAAUUACAGGCAUGAGACAUCACGCCUGGCCCACUCCAGUUAUUUUAACAGAAAGAAUUUAAUGCAGAGAGAGCCAUUAACAAGACAUAGAGUUGUUAACUAGGUGAGAGGGUAAAAACAGAACUCUAAGGUAUCAUGGGAGCAGAAGAGAUAAAAGCAAGAGGUGAAAAUUAUUAAAAUAAAGAGCCUGGACGAGGGCCCCCAUGGAAGUGAACUCGAAAUUCUGAGGAGGAGGAGGUGCUGCUCAGGUGACACAAGUGUCUCCAGGGUACCUGAAGAGGCUGAUUGUGCAAGUGUUGAAAAACCUGUGGACUGAAUUCAGCCAGCUGCUGCCUCAGGGAAAGAACUGCUGCUGCCAGGGUGAAGAAGUGUAUCUUGUGUACCACAGACGGGAAGCUCACAGGAAGCAAAUGGGAAGUACACAUCACUUCCUUGUAUGGAGCCUCGCUCUGUUGUCCAGGCUGGAGUGCAGUGGCAUGAUCUCGGCUCACUGCAAGCUCUGUCUCCCAGGUUCACUCCAUUCUCCUGCUUUAACCUCCCGAGUAGCUGGGACUACAGGCGCCCACCACGACGUCCAGCUAAUUUUUUGUAUUUUCAGUAGAGAUGGGGUUUCACCAUAUCAGCCAGGAUGGUCUCCAUCUCCUGACCUUGUGAUCCACCUGCCUCGGCCUCCCGAAGUGCUCGGAUUACAGGAGUGAGCCACCACGCCUGGCCAAUAUGCUGGCUCUUAAGCACAGAAGAGUUGAGCUGAAAUCUGUUGCUUUCUACCACAUUCUUCAAAAACACAUCAAAUAAGUUUUUUUGGCAUCUAGAAGGAUGCUGCAGCUUUGCAGCAUCUAGAACUCGCUACUGGCAGAGCCGAAUAGAGAGGCAGCUGGCAAGACAGAAAUGUGGCUUGCAGAGGCCAAGCUCCAGCAUCACACAGGAGGGCACAGAAGGCCAUGUUUGGGGUUGAGAGACAAUGGCUUCAUAAAGGGCACAACAAGAAACUAUCCUGUGAUACCAGUAGCAAAGUCUCCUUCUUUUGCAGUUGAGUAUACAUCUUUGGGAAUGAUAAAGGAGAUGAAGGGGCUUCAGAGUGUAUGAAAGGGUUAAAAAAAACUUUCAUAGUUAGGAAAUGCUUAUUUAGCUUCUGGGAAUGCAACUGUUCCCUCACUCCCCAAUCAUAUCACAAUAUUCACUAGUAACUCUUGGAUGUUACUAUCACUCCCAUUCCUUUCUGGGGGAAGGAGGUAGAUAAGCACAGUCAUAUUUGUAUUUUGAAUAUCUUUUUAAAAAAUUACUAAAUUCAGCCAGGUGCAGUGGCUCACGCUUGUAAGCCCAGCACUUUGGGAGUCCGAGACAGGUGGAUCACCUGAGGUCAGGAAUUCAAGACCAGCUUGGCCAACAUGGCAAAACCCCAUCUCUACUAAAAGUAUAAAAAUUAGCUGGGCCUGGUGGUGGGCGCCUGUAGUCCCAGCUACUCAGGAGGCUGAGGCAGGAGAAUAGCUUGAACCGGGGAGGUGGAGGUUGCAGUGAGCCGAGAUCGUGCCACUGCACUCCAGCCUGGGAGACAAGAGUGAGACUGUCUCAAAAACAAAACAAAACAAAACAAAAACUACUAAAUUCACAACAACAACAUAUCUUUAUCAUGUAGAAAGACAGUAAAUAUGUAUAUGGUGGUUAAAAGAACA